rnacentral:lncRNA from 1 species
AGAAAAUAAGAUUUUACCCAUUGAGCUCCGAACAGAGAACGCGAACGGAAAAUAGAAGGGAUGAGUAUUUUCAUGAAAUUUGGAUAUGGCUCGGCAGAAGUAUACUGGAGGAUGAUGUGGUCGAAUUUGGGAUUAAUUGGAGGGAGUUUGGCGCAUGAAAUGACGAGUUAACGGAGUAUUAGGGGCUUAAAAGAAGGUUUAGGACUAAACCGUGAGAAACCAGGGACCUAUUUGUAAAUAUUUUUGGGAGGUGGAGGGGCACAUCCGCGAGAAACUCCUGAGAGUGGUGUGUGGACUGGUUUGUGAAUAUAGGAAAGGAGGGGGUUAGAUCGGAAUUGGGGGAAAUUUACCCCUUCUUCUUUCCUGGGCCGGUCAGGGAGUUGGGGAGGAGAGAGAGGGCCAGCGGCGGUCGGCCGGCCAAGCCUUGCCGGCGGCGAUCCGAGGGGCGGGGGAGGUAGAGGAAGGUGAGGGGGUUUCGUUUCGCCCCUUACCUUGGGGGUUUGGUGAUGGAAGGGAGGACGGCCGUGGUGUAUUUUUUUUCGAUUUUGCAGAAAUAUAUAGUCGAAUAAAAAAUUUGCAAAAAUGGGCUUAUACCGCCGGUUGAAAUGGCGGUUAGGCGAAACGCCCCAACGGUCGCCCACCGGAUAAGCCUCUGCGCAGCACCAGAGGAAGCUCCGCUGUUUGAACCGGCGGUAAGGCCCUUACCGCCAGACGGUAAGGC